rnacentral:lncRNA from 1 species
AAUACCAUUCCAUAAGCUUGAAUAAAUUCUCUUUUGAUUACUAGAUGCACAAGACACAGACUUUUUGAGGUCUUUCAUGGUUGUAACAGGGUUAGGGUUAAGGUGGGAUAAAUAUAUGGAUGAGUAGGAUGAUGGUUCAAAAUCAUUAUUACCAUUCUCCUCAUUAUGUUCAUUCUAAUUUAUCACUGCUAUAAUUCUUCUUGUACUUUCCCUUUUAGGGUUAGCUGUAAUGGACUAUUCAGCUUUUU